CCUACGGGGGGCAGCAGUGAGGAAUAUUGGUCAAUGGGCUUACGCCUGAACCAGCCAAGUCGCGUGAGGGAAGACUGCCCUAUGGGUUGUAAACCUCUUUUGUCAGGGAGCAAUUGGCGCUACGUGUAGCGUUAUCGAGAGUACCUGAAGAAAAAGCAUCGGCUAACUCCGUGCCAGCAGCCGCGGUAAUACGGAGGAUGCGAGCGUUAUCCGGAUUUAUUGGGUUUAAAGGGUGCGUAGGCGGAAUGCCAAGUCAGCGGUAAAAUCGCGGGGCUCAACCUCGCUCCGCCGUUGAAACUGGCGGUCUUGAGUGGGCGAGAAGUAUGCGGAAUGCGUGGUGUAGCGGUGAAAUGCAUAGAUAUCACGCAGAACUCCGAUUGUGAAGCCAGCAUACCGGCGCCCAACUGACGCUGAAGCACGAAAGCGUGGGUAUCGAACAGGAUUAGAUACCCUGGUAGUC
rnacentral:rRNA from 1 species